rnacentral:rRNA from 1 species
AUACGAAGGGUGCAAGCGUUAAUCGGAAUUACUGGGCGUAAAGCGCGCGUAGGCGGUUUGUUAAGUUGGAUGUGAAAGCCCCGGGCUCAACCUGGGAACUGCAUCCAAAACUGGCAAGCUAGAGUAUGGCAGAGGGUGGUGGAAUUUCCUGUGUAGCGGUGAAAUGCGUAGAUAUAGGAAGGAACACCCGUGGCGAAGGCGACCACCUGGGCUAAUACUGACACUGAGGUGCGAAAGCGUGGGGAGCAAACAGGAUUAGAUACCCCGGUAGUCC